rnacentral:rRNA from 1 species
GAUUCCUACGGGAGGCAGCAGUAGGGAAUCUUCCGCAAUGGACGAAAGUCUGACGGAGCAACGCCGCGUGAGUGAUGAAGGCUUUCGGGUCGUAAAACUCUGUUGUUAGGGAAGAACAAGUGCUAGUUGAAUAAGCUGGCACCUUGACGGUACCUAACCAGAAAGCCACGGCUAACUACGUGCCAGCAGCCGCGGUAAUA